CUGCGCGUGCUGCCAUCUACGAGAUCGUCUCCCAACUGUCCACAAAGCAACGGGGGCAAGGAGCACAGAGGAAGCUGGAGGCUGCAUCUGCAUCGCAAAUAUCUGUUGAAACUCCCUUGUGUCCUCGCAGGCGCAGGUCAGGCAGAGGUUUGAUGACCACUACUGGAAACGUCAAGCUUCGAAGAGCGUGAAACGCAUCCUGGAGUGUCAAUUUGGAUGUAUGCAGCGUUGUAGGUUAAAUUACAGUUUCGUCGGCAGUAUGGAUACCGACUCUGAAGCUUUGAGUGUAGACGAUGUUUACAUUCUUGCCGAGGAAAUUGGCAAAGAGUUCGAAUGUCUUAUUGACGGCCAUGGCGUAGACAUGGUGAAGAAAUUGAUGACGAAAGUCAUAUGUGUCUUGGAAUACCUCGAAGCGUAUGCUAUUCGUAAUGAUUCCGCAAGGGAUGAGAUCAUGCAGCUGAAAGCACAGGUUUACCAACUAGAACAGGACAAGCAUGAGAAAGCGGAAUCAAGAAGCAAGUUCGAAAAGGAGAUUGAACAAUAUGAAGAUGUCUGGCGCCAGGAAAUUUCGGACUUGGGCAACGUAGUGUCAAAACUACAAGAGCAAAAUAGCAAACUGUGCAGUUCACUAAAGGAAAAGGAGAACUAUAUUGCAGACCAAGGAGACCAAGAAAGCAGAAAAGAUGAUGAUGCUGCAGAGACUGAAGACAUCGUGGUUUUGAAAAGGUUACGAGAUGCUCUUUGUAAACAGUCAGAACAGAUGCGUCAGUACGAGAGGGAGGUAGCACAGAAAACAACUGAGCUGGAAAACUUAAGGCAACAAUUAGAGCAUGCAAAGCAAAGCAGCCAGGAGCAAAGUCGUCGGAGGCGCCGUUUGCAGGCACAAGUAAAGCAAUUCAGCGAAGAACGUGCUGAUCUGUGCGCACAGCUGCAAGGUCAACAACAACAGCUAGAGACGUUGCGGCAAAACUUAGGGAUUGCCGUUCGUGACAGGGAUGACCUCCUUAAUUCAUCGGUACAAGGUGCUGACCUCAAGGAGAAUGUUAUUAUCAACCCCGAUGAUCCAUGUCGACCACGGUUUACACUCGACGAGCUUAAGCAAAUCCUUUUCGAAAGGAAUGAGCUGAAAGCCAAAGUCAGUGACCUCGAAGAUGAGCUAGCACUUUAUCGACCAAGGCCGGUAGUUCACGCCCACACACCUGCCGAUUAUGAUCUUCCGGUACACGGCCCAAUUAAUCGGGAACCAGCGGAGAAGGUUUUUUCUCUUGGAAGGGCCUCCGGAAUAAGGAAGUUGCUAUGGAACAGACUUGUGGGCAGCAUGGGAACCAUCCAGCUACCUUUUUCUCAGUAAACUAAUAGGGCUCCCUGAAGACAUAACCAAAAGUAAGCUGCUAGGACUACGGUUUUCCAAGCGCUCUGUGGCCAGGACGGAGACCUACUUAGCAGAGGGUCACGGAGUCCUGUAUAGACUCUUCAGGCAGCUUCAGUAUCUUCCAUCUGAUUUUGACUUUCAAGUGGACGUUGCGCCUCAGCAGUGUUUUUGGACUGCAUUUGCGAUAAAUGAAGGACAAAACUGCGAUACGUUUCCCUUUGUCAACUAAAAUCACCUCUGGGAGUGGCAUUGAAGUGCAGAGGAAGUGCUUCGGCAUAAAUUGUGGCAGCACCUCGCCUAGACAAAGCUUUCUGCAGGAACAUCUAUGCGCGAAUUCUGAUGGGCAUUUGUUCGGAGAUCUGCAAGGAUUGUGUAUGCAUUAUAGAAAAAAAAUGUGCAAUUUGAAAUAGAAUAUGUAAUAAUGUAAAGAAUACGCAGUAGAGCAUGUGUAAUAGCCGCAUGGAAACGAUGUGUGUGCCAAAGAGUUGGGAUGUGCCUCGCUGGAAGAGGCCAGAGCACAAUGUAAAUACAUUAUAUACUUCCCGUAACUUUAGUAGUGCAGAUAAUAAUGCGGCAUGGUAUCUAAACGGAAUGAAGUUGAUUCAUUUAGCGUACGUGGAAUACCGUACACGUGUGCCAAAGUGUAUGGCAGCAGAACUGUGAUAUCUUCCAAUAUCCGAAUUCAGUACUGCAGAUUGUAUAUAUCAGAUAAUGCAAAUAAUGUAAUGUAAAAUAAAAAUUUAUACUGUUAA